CCUACGGGUGGCAGCAGUGGGGAAUAUUGGACAAUGGGCGAAAGCCUGAUCCAGCCAUGCCGCGUGUGUGAAGAAGGCCUUCGGGUUGUAAAGCACUUUCAGUGGGGAAGAAAGCCUUGGGGCUAAUACCCUCGAGGAAGGACAUCACCCACAGAAGAAGCACCGGCUAACUCCGUGCCAGCAGCCGCGGUAAUACGGAGGGUGCGAGCGUUAAUCGGAAUUACUGGGCGUAAAGCGCGCGUAGGCGGUCUGAUAAGCCGGUUGUGAAAGCCCCGGGCUCAACCUGGGAACGGCAUCCGGAACUGUCAGGCUAGAGUGCAGGAGAGGAAGGUAGAAUUCCCGGUGUAGCGGUGAAAUGCGUAGAGAUCGGGAGGAAUACCAGUGGCGAAGGCAGCCUUCUGGACUGACACUGACGCUGAGGUGCGAAAGCGUGGGUAGCAAACAGGAUUAGAUACCCCAGUAGUC
rnacentral:rRNA from 1 species